CAAUACGUCAGCGGCAGACGGGAGAGUAACACGUGGGAACGCGCCCUUCGGUUCGGAAUAACUCAGGGAAACUUGAGCUAAUACCGGAUACGCCCUUACGGGGAAAGAUUUAUUGCCGAAGGAACGGCCCGCGUCCGAUUAGCUAGUUGGUGAGGUAACGGCUCACCAAGGCGACGAUCGGUAGCUGGUCUAAGAGGAUGAUCAGCCUCACUGGGACUGAGACACGGCCCAGACUCCUACGGGAGGCAGCAGUGGGGAAUAUUGGACAAUGGGCGCAAGCCUGAUCCAGCCAUGCCGCGUGGGUGAUGAAGGCCCUAGGGUUGUAAAGCCCUUUCGGCGGGGAAGAUAAUGACGGUACCCGCAGAAGAAGCCCCGGCUAACUUCGUGCCAGCAGCCGCGGUAAUACGAAGGGGGCUAGCGUUGCUCGGAAUUACUGGGCGUAAAGCGCACGUAGGCGGCUUGUUAAGUCGGGGGUGAAAUCCUGGAGCUCAACUCCAGAACUGCCUUCGAUACUGGCGAGCUCGAGUCCGGGAGAGGUGAGUGGAACUGC
rnacentral:rRNA from 1 species